GCCUUCUCUUUCCGGCUCUGUUUCCCGCACGGUCCUCACCCAACUGCAGGGGUAGAGAGGAAGGGCGGGCGCGGGUGGGCGGGAAACAGCCCAGCCCCGAACAAAAGGCUGGGGAAGCGGGGCUCCCGCCGGUGAAAUGCAGGCCGGGUCGCGCUGGAGCCGCUACGCGGGGGCGAGCCGCUGGCGGGUGUGGAUCGCACUCCUGGGCCACCAUGGAGACCUCACCCUCGAUUUAGUUGUUAUUUAGUAUGGAAGAAGAUGAGUUCUUUGGAGAAGAAACAUUCCAGCAUUAUUGUGCAGAAUUCAUUAAACAUUCACAGAAGAUAGGCGAUGGCUGGGAAUGGAGAACUUCAAAGGACUGUUCUGAUGGCUACAUGUGCAAAACACAGUUUCAACUUAAAAAUGGGACUGCAGUGUCACAUCGAGGAACAUCUGCCUGUGUACAAACAUGUCUUCCCAUGGAGGAGGCUUUAGAGCCACCCCUGGAUGAUUUUGAGGUGACGGAGACCACCACGGCAACCAAAGUGAUUAAAUAUGAGUAUCAUGUCUUAUAUUCCUGCAGCUACCAAGUGCCUGUGCUUUACUUUAGGGCAAGCUUUUUAGAUGGAAGCCCUUUAGCUCUGAAGGACAUAUGGGAAGGAGUUCAUGAGUGCUAUAAGACUCGGCUGCUGCAUGGACCGUGGGACACUAUUACCCAACAGGAGCAUCCGAUACUUGGACAACCCUUUUUCGUACUUCAUCCCUGCAAGACGAAUGAACUCAUGACUCCUGUGUUAAAGAAUUCUCAGAAAAUCAAUAGGAAUGUCAACUACAUCACGUCAUGGCUGAGCAUGGUAGGGCCAGCUGUCGGGCUGAAUCUGCCUCUGAGUUACGCCAGAGCAGCCUUUCAGGAUGAAGGAAACGUCAACAGACAAGAUUCUUCUGUUGAGCCAAAGAGCUUAGAAGAACUCUGAGAGUUUACGUGGCCGGCCCUGGUUUUAAUGGGACCAAUAUGGUGUGAGAUUCAGAUCACCGAGAUUUUGACGUGGAUUUUUUUUCCCUUGGAAGCAAAUGUCCGCAGCAACUGAUGUACUCUAUGUUUAGAAGACACACUGCAAAGACACAAAUCACUAUAAAGAGCAAAAGAGGAAUCUAACUUGGUAAUAGAAAUACUGACAUCAUCAGGGCACUUCCAGGUCAUUCCCUCAUGUCUCUGAGACUCAUUCUCUUCACCUUUAAUUUGAGAAUAACAAGCUACCUCACAGGGUUGCUGUGUGAAGCACAUGAGAGCCUUAGUGUAUGAGAAAAUAUGGUAAAGUAUUACGCAAAUAUUCAUUAAAUGGUCACCUUUCUUAUAUUUGAUUGUCAUUCACCUAGGCUGUCAAUAAGUUCAAUAGUCAGUAAGAUAUUAAGAUGAACCAUAGAAUUUUUGGUUUGGGGUUGCCUGUUUUGUUUUUCAUUUUAACUUGCUAGGGUCUUAAACUAAGAGAAAAACGUAAUUGACUCUUCAGAGCAUCUAGAUUAGUGUCUGUCAGUGGGGGAUGCACUUUAGAGUCACUUGAGGAUCUUUUACAAUUACAGACGCUGGGGCCACCUGCUGGAACAGCCCCUCUGGGGUGAUUCUGAUGCACAUGCUCCUGAAGAAGUUCUGGUCUGGAUGUACCUUUCAAGUGGCAUUUAUUUGUGUUGCUUUGGUCUCCCAGUAGGUCUUUUCCAAUCCUGUGCAUAGCUCCUGCAAGAUGGACUUACUUCCUAACAUUGCCCGGACCUUGCCCCGAGAAUCUGUAUAGCAAGGAAGUCUAGGAGGCAUUUGGAGAGGCGGCCUACUUUGGAGAAGCAGUUAGGAUGAGGGGAUUAUCUGCUGGCGAAUAGCAGAGGACCGCGACAGCCUUGCUGGGUGGCAGGGGCAGCAGACCGAGAGCCCUGACCCGGCUCAUACGAAUGCCCCAGUCCAGUGGAGAAGACAGACAAGAAGAAGAUUGAUGGCACGACGUGUGUUGUAGCGGUGGUGUGGAAAGCAAGCACCAGGGAAGAGUCACAGAAGAGGAAUGAAAAGCUCUCCUUAUCAUCAGAAUUGCUGUUUGAAAGCUUCAGAUCCUCUGGGAAGCAAGGGAGGUCAAUGAUGUUCAUCAAGCCUGGCUCAAGUUCUAAGGGCUGUAUGUGAGUGGCUCCCUCAUUUUGAAGAUAGAUACCACAUAUUGAAGGCUUAAGUGACAGUCUGAAUGAGAUGGCAACUGUUUGUGUGCAUAUUUGGAAAUGUUGGUUAUCUGUCACUCCUGGGUCCCCUCAAAUGAUCACUCUAAAAUAUUCAGUUGUUAAAUGUUUUAAUACUUUGCUCUAAAACUCCUGUGGUGACAAUACCAUGACAAUAAGCUUUAAAAAGUCCACUUCUUUUCCUCACAUACUAGUAAAUAUAACAUCAUUUUACCAAAUAAUAUGGAUAGAAAUUGUGCUAGAAACGAAGAAUGCUUAGUACAUCCUGCCAAGGCAGUCCCCAAGUACAAUAUCAUAAGAAAUGUGAGUUAAUACUUGGAUGAUCCAUUUUAUUUUAGACUUUAUAGGUCAGAAUAAAGACUAUACAAGCAGCUGUUAGUGGAAAUUUUAUUGUAAUAUGGUAAUUUAUGACCUUAGUCUCUUUUCUCAACUUUGUGUAAAAUCAAUAAAGACAUGUUAGCUACUUUGACACACGUGAAACAGGCUCCAGGAAUGUUACCCACAGAUGACUAUUAUAACAAAAUCCAGACAUUUACCUGGAAUGAAUUCAUCUAUACAAAGAUAUACAUUCAAAUUUGCAUAGCUGUCAAAUUAGAACUGUCUCUCAGCUCUAUCAAAAAAUAAAAGGAAAAAAACCCCAUAUAGUUGAGGUAUUGUGUAUUUCCAUAAUACAGUUUACAACAAAAACUCUUAUUAAAUACCCAGCAUUAUGUAUGCCAUAAUUCACUAAGGAGCCACCUGUAAGGUAGUGUUUAUUAUUUUGCUAUGAGGUGCAUCUCCUACAGGAAGUUUAGAGGACAGAUUAUUUUUCUAGUUUCAGCUAUGCCAAUUACUUCGGCAAAUUAUUUCAAAAAUACUUGAGCUAUUUUUGGCUUCUGACUUAUAAAAUGAGGUGGCUGGAAUAGAGCAGUAGUAUCCCCAUAAGUGUGGAAAGCAAGGGGAUAGCUUCAUAAAGACUGCCUGAUAGCUUGUCGAUAAGACAGAUUUUUUCCAGAAAUACUGUAAAGAUUGUUUUCCAGAAGAUCAGGAGUAUUUGUAAAAUCUAACAAAUACCUUAGGGACUCUGACGUUCUGGAUUUGGGAACCACAGGACUAAGUGAUCUCCAGAUUCUUUCUGCACUAACAAUUUCUGAUUUGUUUGGGGUUUGCUAGGCAAAUGUAAGAGGUAAUAGAAUUUAAAUAUUUACUCAUCCACAAUUUUUAAACCUUUUAAUUUGUAACUAAGACUCACAAGAAGUUGCAAAAACAGUAUAGUUUGUAUACUUCACCCAACUUCCCCUUAAUAACAUACUUGAUAACCAGAGUAUAUUUUCAAAACCAGUAAAUUGACAUUACAACAGUAUUAACUAAACCACAGAACUUGCUUUAUUUCAUCAAUUUUUAUAUGCACUUUCUGGGGACUAUGAAAUUCCAUCACAAGUAUUGAUUUGUGUAAAUACCACCACAAUCAGGACACAGGACUGUUCCAUCACCACAAACACACUCCCUCCUGCCACUCUUUUAUAGUUUGUCUCUAUCCCCAUCAUUCAUCCUUGGCAGCUACCCAUCUCUUCUCCAUUGCUAUAAUUUGUCACUUCAAGAAGUUCAUAUACAUGAAAUGAUACAAAACAUAUGUAACCUUUUGAGAUUGGCUUUUUGUACUUGGCAUACCACUAAGAUCCAUAGAAAUUGUUGCACGCAACAAGUGUCUUUUACGACUGAGUAGCAUUUCAUUUAUGGAUGCAACCACAGUUUAUUUGCCCACUGAAGGACAUUUAGGUUGCUUCUAGUUCUUGACUGUCACAAAUACAGUUGCCAUGAACAUUUGUGUACAGGAUUUUGUGUGGGCAGACAUUUCAUUUCUGUGUGAUAACUACCCAGGAGUGCAAUUGCUGGAUCCUAAGCAUAUGUUAACUUUAUAAGAAACUGCCAAACUUUUCUAGAGUGACUACCAUUUCAGAGUCCCACCAACAAUCCAGUUGCUCCAGUCUUUCCAGUGCUUGGUAUUGUAUUUUUAAUUUUAGUCAUUUGCUAGGUGUAUAGUGAUAUCUCCUUAUGAUUUUAAUUUGCAUUUUCCUAACGGCUGAUGUUAAUCAUCUUUUCAUGUGCUUGUCAUCUCUUCAGUGAAAUGUUUGUUCAUUCGUCCAUUUUGUAAUAGGAUCGUUUUCUUACUUUUGAGAUUAGGGAGUUCUUCGUAUAUUUUGGAUACAAGUCUUUUAUUGGAUAUGUGACUUGCAAAUAUUUUCUCCCAGUCUGUAGUUUCUUUUCAUCCUCUUGACAAGAUAUUUCACAGAACAAAAGAUUUUAAUUUUGAUGAAGACCACUUUAUCCUUUUUUUCUUUUUGUGGAACGUGCUUUUGGUGUAAUCUCUUAGAACUCUUCACCUAACCCUAAGUCAUGAAGAUGUUUUUGUCUAUAAUUUUUACAGCUUUACUUUUUAUAUUGAUAUAUGAUCCAUUUUGAGUUAAUUUUUGUAAAAGGUGUGAAGUUUAGGUUGAAGUCCAUUUUUCUGCUAAUCGAAGUCCCCACUAUCUAUUGAAAAAAGUAUCUGUCCGCCCCUCAAUUACUUUUGUAUCUGUCACAUAGCUGUUGGUCAUACCUGUGUAAGUCUAUUUCCAGUCUCCUAGUUUAUUGAUGUGUGUCUGUCCCUCCUCCGACACCACACCCUCUUACUAUAGCUACAAAUUGUCUUAAAAUCAGUUUGUGAUUCCUCCACCUUUAUUCUUCGUUUUCGAUAUUGUUUCAGCUAUUCCAGUUCUUUUGCCUUUCCAUACAAAUUUUAGAAUUAGCUUUUCUAUUUCUACCAAAAAGAGCUGCUGGGAUUUUGCUUAAAUUUUGCACCCAAGGUUACUGCCUCAUUUCCCUCCCUAGAACUUUGAGAAGGAUCCAAGAAUGAAGGGGCUUUAUUCACAGGUGGUGGGGGAGUAGAGGGUGGGAUGGAGGGAAUACACAGGAGGCAGAGGCAACUCACAUCAGGGUCAAACAUUUGGGUCUGAGGCACCUGUGGUGGAUUUACGGGUCAGUCGUCACAGGACAGAGGCGUCCUGGGUGUACCCAGGAGACAAGUGCGAACCAUUGUAGCAGGGUGUCUUAACUCCCA